rnacentral:lncRNA from 1 species
CAUAGGAAAAAGUGGACACCAAUCUUGAUAGCAAGAGAAUGAUCAAAUAUUCCAACCACAUCCAAUAGAGCCAAUUUCCUCAACUCAUCUUCAGCUCCUUUACCAGUUAGCCACUUUUCAAAAACACCAUUUUGCAAAAGAUAGCCAAUUCUCCUCAUAGUAAUUUCCCUUUGUUGUUCUUUAGAUUGGUUAUAAUCAGGCUGAACAAAUACUUUACCGCCCCUUAUUUUCGUAUUAAAAAGAUUGCUUUAGAUUGGUUAUAAUCAGGAAAACACCAUUUUGCAAAAGAUAGCCAAUUCUCCUCAUAGUAAUUUCCCUUUGUUGUUCUUUAGAUUGGUUAUAAUCAGGCUGAACAAAUACUUUACCACCCCUUAUUUUUGGGUUAAAAAGAUUACUUUGCAACAUUAGACCAAAUAGCCAGUCUCUUUCUUGCAAAUUAUGACCAUCCAUAAGUUUUCUCAUUUCUUUUGUGUCAAAAACUGAAGAUGGUUCUGAAAAUUCAGGUGGGUUAUAGCUGAGACAUGGGAAAGAUCGGAGUAUUGAAUUAAUGGGUGUUGGGUUUUCUUGGUUUAAGUGUCUGCUUAGGAUUUUUGUUCUGAAAUUCACUUUUUCCAUUGAAGAAAAUAAAAUUUUGGAAUUUUCCGUUGUUGAGAGAUGAAUAAGAAAUCAAGAAAACAGAGAGAGAACGAGGGAGAAUGAUUUUGAGAUUUUCUGUGUAAAAAGUCUUGUGAUAGAAUGGAUCUAACAUUACAAGAAUAAUUAAGUUUAAAUACAUGACAAAUAUAAGCUUCUAGAAGGCCAUGAAGUACGUUGGACAGGCGUGGCAGUGUGAAA